UGUGAUCACUCUCCACUGAGGAGAGCUGUUGGUUAAUUGUCUCUUACAUAAGAGUGCAUUUGCACAUAAGACAUGUAAAAACAACAACAGAGCAACAGCGAGAGAAUGCAGUCCUCAGCUAUUUGAAAUGGCGGUAGGGGCAUAAGAGAAAUGGGAAUCUUUAUGCCUGGUUCCACAGUAAUUAUUAUAUGGUGCCCAUUCUGCUGGUGGUGCAUUCAUCUCCUGGUCACCCAGAAGCAGAUGUCACCAGGAAGAUGGAGCGACUGUCACGACUUCCGCCGAGGUCGGUCCCUCUCCUUGUUCGGGCGGUGUUCGGCGGUCGACGUCACCGGCCUUCUAGCCAUCGCUGAUCCAUCUUUCAUUUUCUAUAGGUUUUGUCUAUUUUUUCUACACACCUGGUUUUCAUUAUCCAAUUACAUGUUCAUGUAUUUAACCCUCUGUGUCCCCCAUGUUUGUUGUGCGUAUUAUUUCUAUGUUCAGUUCGGUUCAUGAUGGCUGGCUUUUUGACUGGGUGCUGUGUUCACCCGUGCGUAAUAUUUACUGUUGGUAUUUGGUCAAGUGUAUUUUGUUUACCGUAUGCCUUUAUUUUUUGAGUAAAGUACGUUGCUCACUCAUUUUGCUCUCCUGUGCCUGA